rnacentral:rRNA from 1 species
GGGGAUAACAGGCUGAUACCGCCCAAGAGUUCAUAUCGACGGCGGUGUUUGGCACCUCGAUGUCGGCUCAUCACAUCCUGGGGCUGAAGUAGGUCCCAAGGGUAUGGCUGUUCGCCAUUUAAAGUGGUACGCGAGCUGGGUUUAGAACGUCGUGAGACAGUUCGGUCCCUAUCUGCCGUGGGCGCUGGAGAAUUGAGGGGGGCUGCUCCUAGUACGAGAGGACCGGAGUGGACGCAUCACUGGUGUUCGGGUUGUCAUGCCAAUGGCACUGCCCGGUAGCUAAAUGCGGAAGAGAUAAGUGCUGAAAGCAUCUAAGCACGAAACUUGCCCCGAGAUGAGUUCUCCCUGAGACUAUAAGUCUCCUGAAGGAACGUUAAAGACGAUGACGUUGAUAGGCCGGGUGUGUAAGCGCAGCGAUGCGUUGAGCUAACCGGUACUAAUGAACCGUGAGGCUUAACCUUACAACGCCGAAG